rnacentral:rRNA from 1 species
AUUGAACGCUGGCGGCAGGCCUAACACAUGCAAGUCGAGCGAGCGGCGGACGGGUGAUUCCUGUAUGGGUACUGCUCGAUAGAGGGGGAUUACUAAUGGAAACGCUGGCUAAUACCGCAUACUGUUGGAUUACGCAUAUGGGAUGAGCUAGUAGGUAAGGUAAUGGCCUACCUCGGCGACGAUACCUAGCUGGUCUGAGAGGAUGAUCAGCCACACUGGGACUGAGACACGGCCCAGAGUCCUACGGAGGCAGCAGUGGGGAAUAUUGCACAAUGGGCGCAAGCCUGAUGCAGCCAUGCCGCGUGUAUGAAGAAGGCCCUAGGGUUGUAAAGUACUUUCAGUCGGGAGGCGUUACCGACAGAAGAAGCACCGGCUAACUCCGUGCCAGCAGCCGCGGUAAUAC